UCCUAACAUUAGGAAUUGGUGAUACGAGAAAA
rnacentral:piRNA from 1 species